AUUGAACGCUGGCGGCAUGCCUUACACAUGCAAGUCGAACGGUAACGGGCCUUCGGGUGCCGACGAGUGGCGAACGGGUGAGUAAUACAUCGGAACGUGCCCGAUCGUGGGGGAUAACGAGGCGAAAGCUUUGCUAAUACCGCAUACGAUCUACGGAUGAAAGCAGGGGACCGCAAGGCCUUGCGCGGACGGAGCGGCCGAUGGCAGAUUAGGUAGUUGGUGGGAUAAAAGCUUACCAAGCCGACGAUCUGUAGCUGGUCUGAGAGGAUGAUCAGCCACACUGGGACUGAGACACGGCCCAGACUCCUACGGGAGGCAGCAGUGGGGAAUUUUGGACAAUGGGCGCAAGCCUGAUCCAGCCAUGCCGCGUGCAGGAUGAAGUCCUUCGGGUUGUAAACUGCUUUUGUACGGAACGAAAAGCCUUCUUUUAAUACAGGAGGGUCAUGACGGUACCGUAAGAAUAAGCACCGGCUAACUACGUG
rnacentral:rRNA from 1 species